AUGAACGCUGGCGGCGUGCCUAAUACAUGCAAGUCGAACGAAACUUCUUUAUCACCGAGUGCUUGCACUCACCGAUAAAGAGUUGAGUGGCGAACGGGUGAGUAACACGUGGGCAACCUGCCCAAAAGAGGGGGAUAACACUUGGAAACAGGUGCUAAUACCGCAUAACCAUAGUUACCGCAUGGUAACUAUGUAAAAGGUGGCUAUACUACCGCUUUUGGAUGGGCCCGCGGCGCAUUAGCUAGUUGGUAGGGUAAAGGCUUACCAAGGCAAUGAUGCGUAGCCGAAUUGAGAGGGUGAUCGGCCACAUUGGGACUGAGACACGGCCCAAACUCCUACGGGAGGCAGCAGUAGGGAAUCUUCCACAAUGGGCGAAAGCCUGAUGGAGCAACGCCGCGUGGGUGAAGAAGGUCUUCGGAUCGUAAAACCCUGUUGUUAGAGAAGAAAGUGCGUGAGAGUAACUGUUCACGUUUCGACGGUAUCUAACCAGAAAGCCACGGCUAACUACGUG
rnacentral:rRNA from 1 species